rnacentral:lncRNA from 1 species
UGAGUAUUAAACUUUUAGAAUUUAUUAAUAAUUACUUAGUUCUCCCAAUUCCCUUCCAACCUCUGAGUGUUCUCUGACAUCAUGCAGUAGCAACUCCUUUCUUGUUCUCUGGGUCACUUGAAUAACUUAAUAUGAAAAUGCUUUGAGACCUUCAGAGAAUCAGGACAGUCGCAUACUUUGGCCCAGGCACCCGCAAGACGUGCCAGGAGGUUUACGUGCCUGUCUCUCUGCCUCUAGCUGGCUGGGGUUGUCCCACGGCUCUGAGGAGGGACACACGCAAAUGCUGAGAGCCUGCAGUUCCUCGGGGGUGGUCAGGAGAGUACAGGACCUGCUGCCCAUGGCUGACCUACCAAAAUAGUGCUGCGACUAUAGGAUCCCAGAGGGGCUGCAGUUAGGCAUGUGAAACAGUGUGUGGACAAAACUGCCAUCUCCUCACCUCAUACGGGAAAACAGAGAGGCCUGCAGUUCUGUGGGAAGACUUCAAAACAGCUCUCAAAAAGUAAAAUUGUAUCACCAGAGAAACUGGGUUAUGUAAUGGUGCAUACCACACUUCUGUUUUCCUGAGGAAGUUAGCACUUCUUAUUGAGAAGGCUGCGGCCUGAUCAUGCUGUUAUUACCACUAAAAAACAAAAAUCUGUGAGGCCCCCAGAGGCUGCCCAGCACUAUGUAACAGGGAAAAGAGAGGCAGGCCUGGGUGCAGGGUGGUCGCAUCCAUGAUCCAGCCUGACCCCCAUCACCAGCCGGCAGGGAGACAGACUCACACUGAAGAUAAAGCAGAGCUGCUGUACUGGCUGGACUUGAGGUGGUUUAAGUUGGCAGCUACAUCGAAGGACUUCUGAAAAGCUCAAGUGACAGUUACACCUUUGCACUCUCCACAUUCAGCUGGCCUUUUCCCUCAAAACAUGGAUAAUCUUCAAACCUCCCUGAACAGGUGGAAAUGCGUCUUUCCUCUAAGCCAAGUUCUCAGUCCACAUUAGUCCAUACUUGGCUACAGAAUUGACGUUUGUGGCCACAAUCCUACUAGAAAUGACCUUUGGGUAAUAUCCUUAUCUUGUUGAUCUAGUUAGGGUCAAGUAAAACGAAAUAGGUUUUCAAUCAAAUACUAAGAAGCUCACAAAAUGGAAUUUAGGUGAAAACACACCAAAGUAGUAUUAAAGUUCAAAUUCCAAAAGAAAUACUUGCAUUAAAAAAGAAAAGCCAUGCAUGGUGGCUCGCUAUGCCUGUAGUCCCAACAAUUCGAGGUGGGAGGAUUGCCUGAGCCUGGGAGGUCGAGGCUGCAGUGAGCUGAGAUUGUGACACUGUACUCCAGCCUGGGGGACAGGGUGAGACCCUCGCUCAAAAAAUAAAAUAAAAUAAAAUAAAUAAAUAAAAAAUAGAAAGAAAGAAAGCAAACCACACACACACAUACAACAAAAAAAGAUCACUUUAAAUCUUUAAACUAUUCCUUUCAAAACAAUGUGACAGAAACAUCAUCAGGUUACUAGAGAUUUCACAAAUAAUGCAUAAUAAAGAGCUUUCUCAGAAACAGAGUACUACCACCUAAUGAAAAAAUAAAACCUAUCCAAAACCAAGAAUCUUCAGUAAAUAAAAUGCUUUUAGCAUUAAAAACUAAUAAGAUAGCUUUAAAAACCAUGUUUUUAAAAAUUGCAACAAAUACUUCUUACUUUUAACUGUCUUUUUUAACAGAGCAAAGCAAUGGAAUAUUGUGCAUCCCACACAGUGACAUUGUGUGAUUUUGGGUAGGAACACAUUUGAACCCUAACCAACCUUGGCAGGAGGAGAGGGUGAGGGAGUCAUUUGACCUGGGGUCAUGCUGGUAACCGGGACAUAGAGACUUCCUCUUUCCCUCUGAGCUCACAGGCCCUUCCCAUUUCCACACUGGCUCGGAUCCUUCAGCAGCCUUUCCUGCUGCUGACAACCAAAUGGAGAAAAUAAAUGAAUUUUAAAACAGUUAUUUUCUUCACAGAUUUAGGGAAAGACACCAUGGGAGGGAAAACACAUGUGGGUAAAUACAAAAUACAGUUACAUAUUUAUUGUGGAUGCUGCAGAAACCCCAGAGUCAAAGCACAUGCUCCAUUGGGAAGAGUGGCGCACAGGAGGAGAGGCUGACCCCUUCAGUAUCACAGUUCUUUUUCUCCUGCUCAUUCAUGUUUCUUUUUUUCUUUUCUUUUUUUUUUUUUUUUGAGACAGACUCUCGCUCUUGUCGCCCAAGCUGCCAGGCUGGAGUACAGUGGCACGAUCUCGGCUCACUGCAAUCUCUGUCUCUCAGGUUCAAGCGAUUCUCCUGCCUCAGCCUUCCCAGUAGCUGGGAUUACAGGCACCUGCCACCAUGCAUGGCUAAUUUUUGUAUUUUU